AUACUUACCUGACACUGGGAUAUACCAUGAUCACGAAGGUGGUUUUCCUAGGGCGGGCUUCUCUAUUGCUCUCCUGAUGUGCUGACUUCUGCAAUUUCCCCAAAUGUGGGAAACUCGACUGUAUAAUUUGUGGUCAUGGGGGACUGCGAUCACGCUCUCCUGGU
ensembl:snRNA U1 U1 spliceosomal RNA